AAAUUUGAGCAUCAAAUCGAUCGAUCGAUCGAUCGAUCAGGUAAAGCUUUUCAUAGCUCUCCCCACUUUCCUUGUACUUGAGAUUCCAUUAAUUAUAGAACUCUGAUUUUUGGAUCUUGGCGCUACUCCUUUUUCCGGUGAUUUAGGGUUUUGCAGAAUUGUGGAUUUGUGAAAACAAAUUGCACAGUGGUUUUCGUUUUCUUGUUUCGGUUGAUUUAAAGCCCAGUUGAUGGCAACUGAAAAUGAAGUUGAAGAAAUUGACAGCUUGGAGAGAGGUUUAUUGUCCCGUGCUGGUUCUCAGGAGGAGCUGGUAACGGAGGCAGAAGAAGAAACGGUGCUGUAUACGGCGUCGUUCCAGGAGAUGGAAGAGAAUUUCGUCAAAUAUCAGACUGCUCAGUGGGUUCUCUACUCCUUGCUUCUGAUACUGGCCUGGGGAAUUGGCUUUUUCAUGCUUCUUUAUCUACCUGUGCGGAGAUAUAUACUCCGCAAAGAUAUCCGCUCCAGAAAGCUCUAUCUCACUCAAAAUUCCAUAGUAUAUAAAGCCACAAAGCCGGUACCAUUUCCAUGCUUUGGAGUGUUGAAGAAAGAGAAGCAUGUCUUGUUACCUUCAGUUGCCGACCUUGUCAUUGAACAGGGAUAUUUGCAAUCCCUCUUUGGUGUCUACUCUCUUAGAAUUGAAAAUGCUGGUGUAAGACGGCCUCCAAGUGAUGAUGUUCAAAUCCAGGGAGUUGCAGAUCCAAGCGCUUUCAGAAAGGCUGUUCUUAUUCAUCUCGCGCAUAUGAGAAGUGAGGUUUCUUCUAGACAGGUUUCCACAAUUGAAGACACUCCCAAUCUAAGGGGGUCCCCAUCAAAAUCUUUAAGGCACGAUUCUUUUCCUCAUUUUGGGGAGCAAGUACUACUACAAAAACUGGAGGAGGUUGGAAAUUCAGUGAAGAGAAUUCAAACCUUAAUUGAGGACCAGCAGUCUCAAACAUCAGGACCCAUAGAUUGAGUGCUCUAGGUGGCUUCCUUCAAUUGGAUGAUUGCUUUCCUCCAUUAUAUAAUGGCCUGUCAAGGUUGGAGAGAGAAGUUAGUCAUAGAUGGAAAUAGGGUGCUUUUGAUCAGCAAGCAAUUAGUAAGCCUCCAAGCCCUAAUCUUUCAUUACAAUGUUUGUACAUGUCUUUGAUCCUGCAUUGAACACCCUACCAAGUCAAACUAAAGUAUAUCUUCCGUUUCUAAAUAAUUCAAUCAAAUCUGCUAGUUAAGACUAAAGACAAAAAUAAUUGAAUUUCAACUAUUCUUGUAAAGAUUUGCGAUAACUAUUUUCUUGCAUGUAACUCUAUGGAGAAAAAAAAAAAAAAAAAAAAAAAAAAAAGGAAAAAAACAAGAAAAAAAAGUUCUACUGUUCUAUUUAAAGCUCUUUACAUCACACGUCAUACAAAAUCAUAAAAAUGACUAGAUCAAAAUAAGCACGUCAUUAUCAAAGCAUCAAUUUUGCAACCCAACUAAUCUACAUUGCCAAUUUGCCAUGUGAUAUCCAUUAGCCACUAAAAGUCAAAAUAGUCAACACGCAUAACAGGCAUUGAUACUGUUCAUGUUAUUAUUUUGUGGUCCAUCUGGCCUGCAUUUUAGCCUACUGGGCUGUUUUCUUCUCCUAUGAUCGUUGAUGGUUGUCAAGGCGUCGUUCGCUUUUUUGAGCUCCUCCGAACAAUCUUUUUCACUUGAAACUUGCCAUUGGGCCUUUUUAUGUAAGCUGUUGUUCUGAGGAUUUUUUAGUAGAAUUUUUCUUUAAUUUAUCAUGUUUAACUAUCUCAA